UGUUCAUCCCUGCCCCAAAAUAAGUGCACCUCUCUUAUACCAGUGCCCCAAAAUAAAUGCGGCGAUCUCUGUUCUCCCGACACCACCGCCUCUUCCCCUCGCGACGCACGCCGCUGCCGGCCGUUCGCCUCCUCCGAUGGAUCGCUAUUCGCCACCACACCACCGUUGUUCUCCCGACGCCACCGCCUCUCACCCUCACGACGCACGCCGCGGCCGUUCGCCUCCUCUCUGCACGGACCGCCAUUCGCCGCCUCUCACGGAUCGCCGUUUGCCACCUCUUACAGACCGCCAUUCAUCUCCUCUCACCUACACCACGCCACUCAAAGUCGCCGACCUCUCAUUCAUCUCCAUUCGUCACCGACCUCCGUGGUCUGUUCGGACUUUCCAUUUGCCGGCCAUCGCCAUCUUUCCGAGGUGUCGUCGUCGUCCCAACGGCACUUCCUCCAUCGCUGUCGUCGUCGCCAAUUUUCAUCUUCUUCUGAGGUCUUCAUCUUCUUCCUCCCUCACCAUCGUCGGUCUUUCCGUCUUUGCUUACCACUGUCAUCGUCACCACCAUCGUCAUCGCCGUUCCUAUUGCUAGUUUAGGUAUUCUCAUAGCACUGGGAUUGUCUAAGAAAAAAAAAAAUACCAGCAGCCAUCAAUCUAGAUCCACCGCAUUCCACUCAGCAACCAGCGAUCCAGAGAAUGGUCUUGCCGUCACAGUUACGGUCAAGAUACGAGCAGCUUCUUCAAAGCUGUGACAUUGUGACUACACUACCUUCCUCUUAGUCGCCACCAGCUCAUAUUUCACCAGCUUCUCUGGAUCCAACACCAUCAGAAGUCACACCUUUAGUUCCAUCUCUGGCUGAUAUUGCACCCCCUCUAUCUAGGUACCAGCAGCUUCUUCAGAAUCAUGGUAUCGUGGCUCCACCACCUUCCUCUUAGUCACGAUCAGCCCACAUUCCAUCAAUUUUUCUAGAUCCAACACCAGCAGAAGUCACACCUCCUGCUCCUGGAGCAAAGAAAAGACAUAGCUAACAUGUGAGCAUACAAAAAAUUCAGAAGUUUUGUCAAGUGCCAAGCAAACACUGGGUCAAAAGCUUUUAUACCUAUACGGCAUGAGAUUAGUGAGAAUGAAUUGAAUGGAAAAAAGUAUGAUCGAAUUAUAUUGUGGUAUCAUACUCAUUACACCCCAGGUCAUGGUGACACUCCAGAUAGAUGGACAACUCCCGAGUGCGAGGCAAAAUGGGAUCUAGCAUCAGUGGUCCCAAAUCUUGAACCAGCAGGAGUUGAUCUUCUCUCGAAAAUGCUUUGCUUUGAUCCAAGCAAAAGAAUCACAGCUCUGAGUGCUCUUGGGCAUGAGUACUUCAAGGAUCUUGGGAUGAUACCUUAAGCAGCAAUUUCAUUCUUCCCUGCUGUAUAUUAUCUCAGGCA